rnacentral:lncRNA from 1 species
ACACACAAUCACACAUACCGCACACACAACCACACACAAUACACACCACACAACCACACACACCACACACAACCACAAACACCACACACCACACACAACACACACAACCACACACACAACACAACACACAACCACACACAACAUACAACACACACAACCACACACCACACAACCACACACUGCAACCACACACACAAUACACACAACACACAGCACACACCACACACAACACACAGCACACACCACACAACCACACACAGUCACACAUACCACACACACCACACAACCACACACACAAUCACACAUACCACACACAACCACACACACAACACAGACACACAACCACACACACACCACACACCACACACAACCACACACCACACACAGCCACACACCACGCACAACCACACAACCACACACCACACACAACCACACACACAACACACACCACACACACAACCAUACACAACCACACACAACACCAUAUAAUCACACACACAAUCACACAUACCACGCACCACACAUAACACACACCACACGACCACACACCACACAACCACACACACCACACACAACCACACAUACCACACAACCACACCACACACCACACACACAACCACACAACCACACACCACACACCACACACAACCACACACACCACAACCACACACACAACACACACAACCACACACCACACAACCACACCCACCACAACCACACACACCUACACACACCACACACAACCACACAACCCCACACACAACCACACACAACCACACAACCACACACCACACACCACACACAACCACACAACACACAAACACACAACACACAACCACACACAACACACACCACACACAACCACACACCACACACAACAUACACAACCGCACACACAACACACAACCACACAACACACAGCACACACAACCCCACACACACCACACAACCACACACCGCAACCACACACACAACACACACAACACAGCACACAGCACACAACCACACAGUCACAUAUACCACACACACAACACACACCACACAACCACACACCACACACACAAUCACACACAACCACACAACACACCACACACCACACACAACCACACACCACACAAACAUACAACACACAACCACACACCACACACACAACCACACAACCAACCACACACCACACACACCCACACACACCAACACAACACACAACCACACACCACACACACAACCACACAACCACACACCACACACAACCACACACACAACCACACACACCACACACAGCUACACACACCACAUACACUACACACACAACCACACACACCACACACACACAACCACACAACGGUGUGGCUGAAGCCAGCAGAAAUGAAAAGUCCUCUGGUACCUCC